rnacentral:rRNA from 1 species
GAGGAAUAUUGGUCAAUGGACGCAAGUCUGAACCAGCCAUGCCGCGUGGAGGAUUAAGGCCCUCUGGGUUGUAAACUCCUUUUAUCUGGGAAGAAAUGUACUUUUUCUUGAGUACUUGACGGUACCAGAGGAAUAAGCACCGGCUAACUCCGUGCCAGCAGCCGCGGUAAUACGGAGGGUGCAAGCGUUAUCCGGAUUCACUGGGUUUAAAGGGUGCGUAGGUGGGCAGGUAAGUCAGUGGUGAAAUCUCCGGGCUUAACCCGGAAACUGCCGUUGAUACUAUUUGUCUUGAAUAUUGUGGAGGUAAGCGGAAUAUGUCAUGUAGCGGUGAAAUGCUUAGAUAUGACAUAGAACACCAAUUGCGAAGGCAGCUUACUACACAAUCAUUGACGCUGAGGCACGAAAGCGUGGGGAUCAAACA